GAUGAACGCUGGCGGCGUGCCUAAUACAUGCAAGUCGAGCGAACGGACGAGAAGCUUGCUCCUCUGAUGUUAGCGGCGGACGGGUGAGUAACACGUGGAUAACCUACCUAUAAGACUGGGAUAACUUCGGGAAACCGGAGCUAAUACCGGAUAAUAUUUUGAACCGCACGGUUCAAAAGUGAAAGACGGUUUUGCUGUCACUUAUAGAUGGAUCCGCGCUGCAUUAGCUAGUUGGUAAGGUAACGGCUUACCAAGGCAACGAUGCAUAGCCGACCUGAGAGGGUGAUCGGCCACACUGGAACUGAGACACGGUCCAGACUCCUACGGGAGGCAGCAGUAGGGAAUCUUCCGCAAUGGGCGAAAGCCUGACGGAGCAACGCCGCGUGAGUGAUGAAGGUCUUCGGAUCGUAAAACUCUGUUAUUAGGGAAGAACAAAUGUGUAAGUAACUAUGCACGUCUUGACGGUACCUAAUCAGAAAGCCACGGCUAACUACGUG
rnacentral:rRNA from 1 species